CCUGCCCUUCAGGGGGGGACAACAGUUGGAAACGACUGCUAAUACCGCAUACGAUCUAAUCUCGGCAUCGAGGAUGGAUGAAAGGUGGCCUCUAUUUAUAAGCUAUCACUGAAGGAGGGGAUUGCGUCUGAUUAGCUAGUUGGAGGGGUAACGGCCCACCAAGGCGAUGAUCAGUAGCCGGUCUGAGAGGAUGAACGGCCACAUUGGGACUGAGACACGGCCCAG
rnacentral:rRNA from 1 species